rnacentral:rRNA from 1 species
GACGAACGCUGGCGGCGUGCUUAACACAUGCAAGUCGAGCGGUAAGGCCCUUUCGGGGGUACGACGAGCGGCGAACGGGUGAGUAACACGUGGGUGACCUGCCCUCAGCUCUGGGAUAAGCCUGGGAAACUGGGUCUAAUACCGGAUAUGACUCCAUGACGCAUGUUGUGGGGUGGAAAGCCUUGUGCGGCUGAGGAUGGGCCCGCGGCCUAUCAGCUUGUUGGUGGGGUGAUGGCCUACCAAGGCGACGACGGGUAGCCGGCCUGGGAGGGCGACCGGCCGACACUGGGGACUGAGACACGGCCCAGACUCCUACGGGAGGCAGCAGUGGGGAAUCUUGCGCAAUGGGCGAAAGCCUGACGCAGCGACGCCGCGUGAGGGAUGACGGCCUCGG